rnacentral:rRNA from 1 species
UACGUAGGUGGCAAGCGUUAUCCGGAUUUACUGGGUGUAAAGGGCGUGUAGGCGGGUCUGCAAGUCGGGUGUGAAAUAUCCGGGCUUAACUCGGACAGGUCAUCCGAAACUGCAGAUCUUGAGUACUGGAGAGGAUAGUGGAAUUCCUAGUGUAGCGGUAAAAUGCGUAGAUAUUAGGAGGAACACCAGUGGCGAAGGCGGCUAUCUGGACAGUAACUGACGCUGAGGCGCGAAAGCGUGGGGAGCAAACAGGAUUAGAUACCCGGGUAGUCCCU